UGCCUUGGUGACUAAAAGAAAGAAAGUCUCUCUACAUCAACAUAAAACUCUACUAGGUUUUUAGGACACUUUGUUGUUUUUCCUAUUCCUUCAUUUCUUUAAGCCUUAAGCCUUAGCCCCAUUAUAACCUGAAUUAAGACCUCUUUGAUCCUUGAGAUGGAAAGCCUUUGAUCUGUGGAGAUCAGUCACAAGAGUUGAGCAUAUGGUUUGGGUCCAUUUGUGCAUGCAUUGAUAUUCUUCAUGAGAUCUUUAAAAAUAUAUUCAUGUUUUUCGAAGCUUUGUUUUCUAUAUGUGAGCUAUUUGUUUGUUUUGAUAUAUCAUCUCUCACAUAUACUUGAGCGAAUGAAAGCUUUUAAGCAUGACCCUUGAAUCUGAGAGAAGAAAGAGUGGAUACCUUGUGAGGAUUUGAAUCAUAACUUGUCUGAAGCAUGCAUAGCGCCAUUGACCUCACUAUUGUAGCCCCCAAGUCCUACUUGUGUUUUGUGUUUAACUUGGUGCCAUAA
rnacentral:lncRNA from 1 species